GCAGAGUAGGAAGACAAGCGCAUGGGGUGUCGGACAAAUCCCGCAUCCCCAGUGCCCGCCGGACGGGGAGUUGCCGGCGGGACGAAAAACGGGAGACCGUUUGCGGUUUGGCUUCCGCAUCCCGCUGC
rnacentral:ncRNA from 1 species